GACAGUUAUGGCCAAGUGGUCAAAGGCAUUAGCUUAAGGCACCAGUCCGCAAGGACGUGGGUUCGAACCCUAUAGCUGUCA